rnacentral:rRNA from 1 species
GUGAACGCUGGCGGUAGGCCUAACACCUGCAAGUCGCACGGCAGCACAGUAAGAGCUUGCUCUUACGGGUGGCGAGUGGCGGACGGGUGAGGAAUACAUCGGAAUCUACUUUUUCGUGGGGGAUAACGUAGGGAAACUUACGCUAAUACCGCAUACGACCUACGGGUGAAAGCAGGGGAUCUUCGGACCUUGCGCGAUUGAAUGAGCCGAUGUCGGAUUAGCUAGUUGGCGGGGUAAAGGCCCACCAAGGCGACGAUCCGUAGCUGGUCUGAGAGGAUGAUCAGCCACACUGGAACUAAGACACGGUCCAGACUCCUACGGGAGGCAGCAGUGGGGAAUAUUGGACAAUGGGCGCAAGCCUGAUCCAGCCAUACCGCGUGGGUGAAGAAGGCCUUCGGGUUGUAAAGCCCUUUUGUUGGGAAAGAAAAGCAGCAGGUUAAUACCCCGCUGUUCUGACGGUACCCAAAGAAUAAGCACCGGCUAACUUCGUG